rnacentral:lncRNA from 1 species
UAACUAAAAUAUUAAAUCCAAUUUUAAGAUAAAAACUGAGGAUAUUAAGGCUGAAAUAAGGUAUUUGACCAAAUCCAGAACCUAAAUGGGCUCCAAGUCUACCCUACUUUCUACUACAGCUCCGCUGCUUAAGCCUCACAAGGAGAACCAAAACAAAUUUUCCUCUAGCCUUGGGCAGACUCACAAGCCUACAUUUUAUAGAGUCCUUAUCCAUAAAAUGGGAUAAUGCCACAAUCUGCCUCCUGGGGGCUAUUAGAGAGAUUUAUCGGUCAAGUUUGCUAAGUAGGGUGAUGCUUAGCGCCACACCAUAAUUUUGCAUAGCCUAAAACCUGAAAUUCUCAGGUUCCACUCAUUUAUUUUAUGCUUGUUUGACCAAUGAGCAGUGAGCUCCAUCCUUGCUCCCUGUCUCCUGGCAAAAGCACAUCUGAGAAACUCAGAAUUAUUUAUGCCUUAAACUUUGCUUUUUUGCAUCCCUCAGUGCCAUGA